ACUCCUACGGGAGGCAGCAGUGGGGAAUUUUGGACAAUGGGCGCAAGCCUGAUCCAGCCAUGCCGCGUGCGGGACGAAGGCCUUCGGGUUGUAAAGGACUUUUGUCAGGGAGCAAAACUUACUGGUUAAUACCUGGUGAGGUUGAGAGUACCUGAAGAAUAAGCACCGGCUAACUACGUGCCAGCAGCCGCGGUAAU
rnacentral:rRNA from 1 species